rnacentral:rRNA from 1 species
UACGGAGGGUGCGAGCGUUAAUCGGAAUAACUGGGCGUAAAGGGCACGCAGGCGGGUAUGUAAGUGAGAUGUGAAAUCCCCGGGCUUAACCUGGGAAUAGCAUUUCAGACUGGGUGUCUAGAGUGCUUUAGGGAGGGGUAGAAUUCCACGUGUAGCGGUGAAAUGCGUAGAGAUGGGGAGGAAUACCGAAGGCGAAGGCAGCCCCGUGGGA